ensembl:lncRNA
GGUGAAGCGGAGCUCUUUGGUGCCUGGCACAGUGGCAGUCCAUGACAGUGCUCACAUUUUUUGCCACAUCAUAAUUAACCAUUAAUUAGUAUGCCUCUGAGAUGGAUAGGAAAAUAAACCCAAGCAAUUAGCUUGGAGGAGAGAAGGCUUCGGAGAGACCUCAUUGUGGCCUACCAAUACUUGAAGGGAGCGUAUAAACAGAAGGGGGAAUGGCUUUUUACAAGGGUGGACAGUGAUAGGACAAGGGGGAAUGGUUUUAAACUGAGACAGGGGAGGUUUAGGUUGGAUAUUAGGAGGAAGUUUUUCCCCCAGAGGGUGGUGACGCACUGAACAGGUUGCCCAAGGAGGCUGUGGGUGCCCCAUCCCUGCAGGCAUUCAAGGCCAGGCUGGAUGUGGCUCUGGGCAGCCUGGGCUGCUGGUUGGCCACCCUGCACAUAGCAGGGGGUUGGAACUGAUGAGCAUUGUGGUCCUUUUCAACCCAGGCCAUUCUAGGAUUCUAUGAUUCUAUGAUUAUUUCAUCAAACCCUUCCGUCGUCCUCAAAAAACUCCUCACCUGAAUCACUUGUGAAGUAAUGCCAUCAAAUGCAUCUGAAGCAAAGACAAAAUGAGCACAAUUCCUGUACCUCUGAAUCGCUGAACAGUGAAUGUAAAUUGUGAGAAUGAGUCAGAAAUUAA